CUCGUCGGCCUCGUCAUCACAUGGCGGGUAUGCGCCACGGAUAUUGAUCAAGCUAUGCACACAAUGUCGUUGAAUCCGCCCGAUGACAGGAAUUGGUACAUGGACACCGGAGCCACAUCUCAUAUGACCAACUCCCAAGGAUUUACAGACGGGGAGCAAACUCAUGAGAUGUGAGAGUUCGGGUGAUCUUUAUCCAUUCUUCCCAAAUUUUCGAGCCAUCUCGCCAUUCGCACCAUCUGCUUUUAGUGUCAUCUCUCCUCAUAUCUGGCACUCCCGUUUAGGUCAUCCGGGGGAUGUUAUUCUUAGUUCUUUACGUAGUAGUAAUUUGAUUGAAUGUAAUAAGGCUCGAAACAAUGUUUGUCAUUCUUGCCCUCUGGGGAAAUUAAUUAAAUUGCCUUUUUAUGACUCUCUUUCAACU